AAGCCGCUGAACCACUCAGCCAUGCCCGAGGGAGCCCGUGGACUGGGCCUGUCCAAACCCAGCCCUAGCCUCGGCCACAGAGGUGAAGUGUGUGACUGUGCGGCUGUGUGUGACACUCGGACAGCAGCCCCUGCCACCCCCGCCAUGACCUCCCCACGAGGUUCUGGGAGCUCCACGUCCUUGAGCACUGUGGGCUCUGAGGGGGACCCGGCUCCGGGCCCCACCCCAGCCUGCUCAGCCUCGAGGCCAGAGCCCCUUCCAGGGCCCCCCAUCCGCCUGCAUCUGUCACCUGUGGGGACCUCGGGUUCUUCGAAACCCUCGAGGCUGGAGCGUGUGGCCCGUGAGAUUGUGGAGACAGAGCGGGCCUACGUCCGGGACCUCCGAAGCAUCGUGGAGGACUACCUGGGCCCUCUGCUGGAUGGCGGGGUUCUGGGGCUGAGUGCGGAGCAGGUGGGCACACUGUUUGCCAACAUCGAGGACAUCUACGAGUUCAGCAGUGAGCUCCUGGAAGACCUGGAGGGCAGCAGCAGCGCCGGGGGCAUCGCUGAGUGCUUUGUGCAGAGGAGCGAGGAUUUCGACAUCUACACAUUGUACUGCAUGAACUACCCGAGCUCCCUGGCCCUACUCCGGGAGCUGUCACUGUCCCCACCAGCAGCCAUGUGGCUGCAAGAGCGCCAGGCCCAGCUCCAUCACUCGCUGCCCCUGCAGAGCUUCCUGUUGAAGCCUGUCCAGCGCAUCCUCAAGUACCAUCUGCUGCUGCAGGUCAGCUGUGGGCCCCCGGGGGGCUGCCUGGGGAGGGGCGAGGUCCUGUCCAUUGGCCACCUGGUGGUGCAUCUGGAGUGCGGACCCUGGGAAAGCUGGGCCAGCGAGGACCAGGGAGGCCUCUGGUCCCUAGAAACUGGGCCAGCUCUGGGGCAGUGUCUUGUUAGCAGUGGGGGCUGGCGCCCGUUGACUUCACUUCCUGUCUUUGCUUGCUUGUCUCUCGGUCUCUGGCUCUCCAUCUCUGCCCCUGCUUCUCUCUCUCUCUCUCUGUUCGUUUCUCCCUUUCUCUGUUCAUCUUCCUCUCUCUGGGCGCCUACCCUCCAGGAGCUGGGCAAGCACUGGGCGGAGGGCCCAGAUGCCGGGGGCCGCGAGAUGGUGGAGGAGGCUAUUGUGUCCAUGACAGCGGUCGCCUGGUACAUCAAUGACAUGAAACGCAAGCAGGAGCAUGCUGCGCGCCUCCAGGAGGUGCAACGGCGCCUGGGCGGCUGGACCGGUCCAGACCUCAGCGCUUUUGGGGAGCUAGUGCUGGAGGGCGCAUUCCGAGGUGGUGGAGGGAGCGGCCCCCGACUCCGAGGGGGUGAACGGCUGCUCUUUCUGUUCUCACGGAUGCUGCUCGUGGCCAAGCGCCGGGGACCGGAAUACACCUACAAGGGCCACAUCUUCUGCUGCAACCUGAGUGUGAGCGAGAACCCUCGAGACCCUCUAGGGUUCAAGGUGUCCGAUCUGACCAUUCCCAAGCACAGGCACCUGCUCCAGGCCAGGAACCAAGAAGAGAAGAGGCUGUGGAUUCACUGUCUCCAGCGCCUCUUCUUUGAGAACCACCCCGCCUCCAUCCCUGCCAAGGCAAAACAAGUCCUCCUUGAAAACAGCCUGCACUGUGCUCCUAAAAGCAAGCCUAUCCCAGAGCCCCUUACACCCCCACUUGGGUCUCCCUGCCCGCGAGAUGCUAGAAGUUUCACUCCUGGACGACGGAACACAGCUCCAUCACCAGGACCCACCGCUACCCGUCGCGGCCGCAGACAGUCUGAGCCUCUAAAGGACCUUUACGUCAUGUUGCCACACAGCGCUAAGCCUAGACUCAAGCACACCGGCAGUGCGGGGGAGCUCUACCCGCCCCUGGAGCCUCAGCCACCAAGUCCCACUUCUGGACCCCCUGAGGACCUGGAGGACACAGGACCCCCCACGCUGGACCCUUCUGGGCCCUCAAUCACUGAAGAAAUCCUGGAGCUCCUGAACCAAAGAGGCCUCCGGGAUCCGGGGGGCCCGCUACAGCCACCCCAUGAUGUUCCCAAGUUCCCCGGAGACUCCCAAGUGCCAGGCGACAGUGACACCCUCACAUUCCAAGGCCUGCCCAGCCGAGACUCUUCAGAAGAGGAGGAGGAAGAAGAACUGGACAUGGAUGAACGGGAGCCUUCCCCACUCCACGUCCUGGAGGGGCUCGAAGGUUCCAGUGCGGCUGAAAUUGCCGACAUUCCCAGCCUUUCCAAAAGCCCCGACAGACCCAGCCUCCCUGAAGUGCCCAGCCUUUCUGAAAUUCCCCAGAUGCCCCGCCUCCCUAGCCUCUCUGACAUUUCCAGUGUUUUUGAAAUGCCCUGCCUUCCAGCCAUUCCUAGCGUCCCCGACAUUCCUAGUCUUUCCAGCGCUGCCCGCCCGCUCCCCUGUGAUUCCUGGCUCCAGGGACCCCCGCAGGAGCUGGAUGAGACUCUAGCCACCCGGAGAGAACUUUUCCCCGGAAACACUUCUGGAAAACUGGGCGAGCCCUCCUCAGAAGGCAGGGCAGGGCGAGAGGAGGAUGAAGGAGGAUCAUUCCCAGAAUUCCAGCCCCCAGAUGUCACCCGGGAUCAGGGAUUCUCACAUGAGUUGGAGUUCCGCUCUUGCUCUGAAAUCCGGAGCGCCUGGCAGGCCCUGGAGCAGGGGCAGCUGGCCCGGCCGGGUUUUCCUGAGCCACUGCUGAUCCUGGAAGACUCGGACCUGAGUGGAGGCAGUGGCAGUGCAGGAGGGAAGGCGGGAGUCCCGACUUCGGAGAGGUCAGCAUCCCGAGUGCGAGAGUUAGCCCGGCUUUACAGCGAGCGGAUCCAGCACAUGCAGCGGGCUGAGACCCGGGCAUCGGCCAACGCACCCCGCCGCAGGCCUCGGGCUCUGGCCCAGCCGCAGCUGUUACCUGGCCUGUCCCAGGAGCAGGCUGAGCCAGGACCCCUGCCUGCCUUUGGACAUGUGCUGGUGUGUGAGCUGGCCUUCCCUCUGACCUGUGCCCAGGAAUCUGUCUCCCUCAGCCCUGCUGCCCGGGUUCAAGCUGCCACACCCUUGACUAAGCAGGGAGGCUGCCAGGACAGCCAGGGUCUACAUGUUUCAAGUUUGCCUGAGCAAGACCAUCUGAGCCUCCAGGUUCCAGCUGCUACCCCCCUGCCUGAGCAAGGAAGCCUCUGGAAUACCCAGAUUCCAGCCGCCACACCUUUGCUGGAAGAGGAAGACCCCCCAGACAGCCAGGCUGCAGCUAUUACAAUUUCACCAGAUCGAGGCCACCUGGAAAUCCAAGUGCCAGCUGCCACUCCUUUGCAGGAGCAUAGAGACCACGUGGGUACUCAGGUUCCUUCUAGCACCUCAUCUCCUGAGCAAAGAGGCCAUGUGGACGUCCAGCUUCCCACCAACCCAGCUUCACCCAAGCGGGGCAGUUCCUCUGAUGUCACGGUUUCAGCCACCAGUCCUGCACCCAAGCAAGAAGGCUGCUGGGACAGCCAGAGCCCAACCAACACCCCUGUAACUAAGCCAGGAGGCUGCAGGGAUGUUCAGUCCCCAGCUACUGCCUGUGGGCCAGCCGUCGAUCCUUCGCUCAUACACAGAAGCAGCCUGGACCCUCAGAUCCCAGCUGACACCCCACUGCCCUUGCAGCGUGACCUCCCAGACAUUCAGGUUCCGGGUACCUCACCUUUGCCUGUACACAGAGGCCACUUGGACCGUCAGAACCCAGCUGAUGCCCCACCAUCCUUGCCCCAGGAACCCCCCGAUUUUCAGGUUCCAGCUACCACACCUUUGCCCCAGACAGCAAGCCUCACGGACACGGAUGCCCAGGUCCAAGCCCUCCUGCCUUUGCCCCAGCAGGGAGGUCUCCGAGACAUCCAGGGUCGUGCCGCUGCACCUUGGCUUCAGGAACAAAGCCUCACAGACCUCCAGGUUCAGAAGCUGACACCUUUGUUGGAAAGGAAGGGCCUCACGAAUGACCAGGUUCCAGCCACCGCACCUUUGCCUGAGCAAGGAGGCCCUAUGGACACUCAGGGCCCGUUACCCACCCCAGUCCAGACCACCGUGCUUUUGGCCAAACAAGGAGGCCCCUCGGUCUCUCACGCUGCCAGAUCAGAGUCUUCAGACUUGACCCCACCCCACAGUCCCCCACCCCCAACACGGAAGCUCCUGGGCCCCAAUGCGGCUGCCCUUUCAAGAUACCUGGCAGCUUCGUACAUCAGCCAGAGCCUGGCUCGGCGACAGGGGCCUGGAGGAGAGGCUCCCCCAGCCUCCCGGGGCCCUUGGUCCUCCUCUGCCCCCACAUCACGGGCACCUUCACCGCCACCCCAGCCCCAACCCCCACCACCCCCAGCCCGGAGGCUCAGCUAUGCCACCACGGUCAACAUCCAUGUCGGAGGUGGCGGGCGGCUACGGCCAGCCAAGGCCCAGGUCAGGUUGAACCAUCCUGCUCUCUUGGCAACCCCUCAAGAAUCUGUGGGUCUCCGCAGAGCCCAGGGGGGCCCCGAUGCCCCUUUCCACAUGUGA
rnacentral:lncRNA from 1 species